GACGAACGCUGGCGGCGUGCCUAAUACAUGCAAGUCGAACGCAGUGGGGACGGGUGAGUAACACGUGGGUAACCUCCCAUCAGAGGGGAUAACACUUGGAAACAAGUGCUAAACCGAUAUUGGUGGAUGGACCCGCGGUGCAUUAGCUAGUUGGUGAGGUAACGGCUCACCAAGGCCACGAGGCAUAGCCGACCUGAGAGGGGGAGCUGCCACAAUGGGACUGAGACACGGCCCAGACUCCUACGGGAGGCAGCAGUGGUGAAUAUUGGGCAAUGGUCGAAAGUCUGACCGAGCAACGCCGAGUGAGUGAAGAAGGUUUUCGGAUCGUAAAACUCUGUUGUCAGAGAAGCGGUAUCUAACCAGAAAGCCACGGCUAACUACGUGCCAGCAGCCGCGGUAAUUC
rnacentral:rRNA from 1 species